rnacentral:rRNA from 1 species
AUCAGUGGCGAACGGGUGAGUAACACGUGAGCAAUCUGCCCCUGACUCUGGGAUAAGCGCUGGAAACGGCGUCUAAUACCGGAUACGAGCUGCGAAGGCAUCUUCAGCAGUUGGAAAGAAUUUCGGUCAGGGAUGAGCUCGCGGCCUAUCAGCUUGUUGGUGAGGUAACGGCUCACCAAGGCGUCGACGGGUAGCCGGCCUGAGAGGGUGACCGGCCACACUGGGACUGAGACACGGCCCAGACUCCUACGGGAGGCAGCAGUGGGGAAUAUUGCACAAUGGGCGCAAGCCUGAUGCAGCAACGCCGCGUGAGGGACGACGGCCUUCGGGUUGUAAACCUCUUUUAGCAGGGAAGAAGCGAAAGUGACGGUACCUGCAGAAAAAGCACCGGCUAACUACGUGCCAGCAGCCGCGGUAAUACGUAGGGUGCAAGCGUUAUCCGGAAUUAUUGGGCGUAAAGAGCUCGUAGGCGGUUUGUCGCGUCUGCUGUGAAAACCCGAGGCUCAACCUCGGGCCUGCAGUGGGUACGGGCAGACUAGAGUGCGGUAGGGGAGAUUGGAAUUCCUGGUGUAGCGGUGGAAUGCGCAGAUAUCAGGAGGAACACCGAUGGCGAAGGCAGAUCUCUGGGCCGUAACUGACGC